CCUGCAGCUGAUGGCUGAUGGAUUCCCAGAGCACGCCCCUCCCAACUCCCGGCUGAUAGUUCUGCCUAUGGCUGGCUCCUGCUUCUCUUCUGCGAUUUCACCUUCCUGCUGGCACGAACUUGCACCUUAUCAGGAGCCCCAAAGAAAAACACAGCCAACCAGCCUGUGUCUCAUCAUACCCCUCAUUCCCGCAGCAUAAAUACCCGUUUGCCAUCCUGCAUUGAUGUCCUGCAGGUCGGGACAGUUGGCGCCCAACGUGGUUGAUUGGAGCCUUUGCCUGAGAAGCGAAUGCCACCCUCUGGGGAAGCCUUGGCCAAGUGGGAUUCGGGAUCGCCUCGGUAAAUGCAACCGGGAGUCAGAUCCAGGAGGAGUGUGAGGCCAGAGCAAGAUGCAGCUGACAAUCUAUGCGAAAAAUCCCCUGAGUGGCAAACCC